AAAAGGAUGUUUUGAAAUGUGUGAGGUGUGAAGAGUAUUUUAGGUUAUGAAUAAGCAAUUAAGAGUUAUACCUAUCCAAGGUCUUUACAAGCGUUUCCUAUCCUUAUGAGGGUCAAACUGUCCUUACUAUUGAGAAGUAAGUAGUUUUAUCCUUCGGAUGUAAAAAGGUCAUCGUAGGGUCAUCGAUUGGUCAUUGAAGGCAACAGUUGUGAGGAUACCUUAG
rnacentral:lncRNA from 1 species